AGGGUUUGAUCCUGGCUCAGGAUGAACGCUAGCUACAGGCUUAACACAUGCAAGUCGAGGGGCAGCAUGCAGGAAGCUUGCUUUCUGCGAUGGCGACCGGCGGAUGGGUGAGUAACGCGUAUCCAACCUGCCCCGUGCUCGGGGACAGCCCUUAGAAAUGAGGAUUAACCCCCGAUGGCGUGGAUGUUCCGCAUGGAAUUUCCACUAAAGUUUACGGCACGGGAUGGGGAUGCGUUCCAUUAGAUAGUAGGCGGGGCAACGGCCCACCUAGUCUACGAUGGAUAGGGGUUCUGAGAGGAAGGUCCCCCACAUUGGAACUGAGACACGGUCCAA
rnacentral:rRNA from 1 species